CGUCUCAUAUUUAACACGAAUCGAUGAUAUUCACCCAACAUAGCGAUGAAAUCAACGGCUUAAUGUUAAAUCGGUUCGUUGCCUUAUUUAUUAAAAUUACUUAAAUUUAAAAUUGCAACUAAACAAGUAUAAUAAUAUCUUUUAAAAUUAAAGAAAGAAAAAUAUUUUUUCUUUUUUUUUUCUUUUCUUUCUUCUUCCUCAAAAACCCUAGCUUGCACCUUCACGCCGCCGCUUGCGCCACCGCCGUCUCCUCGGUCACUCCUCUCCUCUCUUCUUUUCUUUCCUCUUCCUUCCUCUUUCUUUUUGCUGCUGAAACUCCCUUUUUCUUGAAACUUUUCUCUUUUUUUUUUUGAUUCGUGGGUCUCUCGAUUUUUGGGGUUUAAACCCCUUUUAUAGUUGGUUUUUUUCUUCUUUUUGCAGGUAGCAGGUGGCUAGGGGAGAGGGCGGCCAUGCCCUAGGCCGGAGGCCGGAAAUCGCGGAGGGCAGUUGCGUAAAUCACGCUGAUGGCUGCCAGAAGGACCAAACUGCAAUUGCAACAAAACUUCUAGGGCU
rnacentral:lncRNA from 1 species